CCGUUCUUUGUCUAUGUUAAGUUGGUUCUAUUUCGUUCUUACUGACUGCCAGAGGCAGUGCUUCCCACUGAAUAUUAUCUCUCUUGCUCAUGCACAGGUCGAGUCUAAUAACAACAAAGUCAUCACAUGACCAGACCGCGACAUGCACUGCAGCUGGUGGAAAUCAUAUAGAGCAUUCAAUUAGCAUUUUGUUCUCUUUCCCCCCACUCCUAUGUCACCAUGGACAUUCCUGCUGUGGCCCUGCAAUGCCUGGAGAAGGGUGACUGUCCGCUGGAAGAACACACACAUGAC